rnacentral:rRNA from 1 species
UACAGAGGAUGCAAGCGUUAUCCGGAAUGAUUGGGCGUAAAGCGUCUGUAGGUGGCUUUUUAAGUCCGCCGUCAAAUCCCAGGGCUCAACUCUGGACAGGCGGUGGAAACUACCAAGCUGGAGUACGGUAGGGGCAGAGGGAAUUUCCGGUGUAGCGGUGAAAUGCGUAGAUAUCGGAAGGAACACCAGUGGCGAAAGCGGCUUCCUGGUCCAGCACCGACGUUCAGGCACGAAAGCGUGGGGAGCAAACAGG